rnacentral:ncRNA from 2 species
AAUGUGGCUGUCGGCAGAGCUGGUAGAGGACUUACUGCUCUACUGUAGGAAUGGCAAGAAAUCACCAGUCAACAAAACUGUGACAAGUAUGUUUUAGAGUUGUGCAAAGAAAGGUCAAUAAUCAAAAAAGCAGUAGGUUUAAGAAUGCAAAGAGCUGGACAGUCAAGAUGGUGUAGACUUGUGUGGCUGACAGCAUGAGCAUCCCUAUGGAGAGCAGCAUCUCGUUGUAAAAUCACCUGGAAGACAAGGAUGAAGAAGACAAGCCUACUCUAUACGUGUUCAAUGCUGUAACUCAAGACACAAUGCCAGUAAUGGAGAGCAUUUCCCUUCUUGAUAAAACAGUGUCUGAUCUGAGAACACUGGUAACUCUGAGAUGUGGCCUCCCCGUGAGUGUCUACUGUCUCCGAACCCCAAGGGGCCUGGAGAUGUAU